GACGAACGCUGGCGGCGUGCUUAACACAUGCAAGUCGAACGGAAAGGCCCCUUUGGGGUUCCUCGAGUGGCGAACGGGUGCGUAACACGUGAGUAACCUGCCCUUGACUUCGGGAUAACUUCAGGAAACUGGGGCUAAUACCGGAUAGGAAUCCUUGCUGCAUGGUGGGGGUUGGAAAGCUUCGGCGGUUUUGGAUGGACUCGCGGCUUAUCAGCUUGUUGGUGGGGUAGUGGCUUACCAAGGCUUUGACGGGUAGCCGGCCUGAGAGGGCGACCGGCCACAGUGGGACUGAGAUACGGCCCAGACUCCUACGGGAGGCAGCAGUGGGGAAGAUUGCACAAUGGGCGGAAGCCUGAUGCAGCAACGCCGCGUGCGGGAUGACGGCCUUCGGGUUGUAAACCGCUUUCAGCAGGGGCGAAGCUUGUGGUGACGGUACCUGCAGAAGAAGCACCGGCUAACUACGUG
rnacentral:rRNA from 1 species